GUGAGCUGGAGAGGGGAGGACUAGGUGUGGGAAACAGUGAAUAUUGAGUCAGAGAGAAAAAAGAGGCUUCAAGUGUCCUCCCCAGUGAGGAGGCCUCCGCAGAAUGACCCGAUGAAGAGACCUCCUCUCUCUGAAUGCAGGGAGGGCUAGAGAUGCAGAUAUGCAUAAGCGCAUGGUGCUGAGGAUGGAGUGACUGAGCCCUUGACUGCAGCUCCCUUCAGAGACUGCAGUUUACUGGCUGCACACAGUCUGGUGUGGGGAGGACAAUUUUUCCCUGUGAAGCCUGCCAGGGAGCUGGUUUGGAUUAAAGUCACAUACAAACUGAGCCAUCUCCAACAUCUACAUCAGGAAGUAACUCUAACUCAAGAUAGAGGUCACUGGAGGGGCAACAGGUGCUGAGAUGUCUAUGCAGGCAAGUCUGAGGUUAGCCUCCCAGAGUUUCGGGGAAAAGCACACAGGCAUUCCUGAACACUCUGAGAGGUGCAGAAAAGUGGCUGAGCAGACAGACACAAGGUCUGGCAUGGAGGCAGAGGAUCACAGCGGAGCAUGGACCUAACAGCUGGAUGCCGUGUGGUGAUAUCACUAUCAGCAGAAGAUGCAACAAGACCGGGGCCACUGCUCAAGGCCAGAGAAACAGGUUCAUGGAAAACCAGUUUAGCAUCACUAACAAGCCACCUUACGGGUGUAGAUAAAGGACUGGCGCCACAACGUCUAUAUGGACUAAACUUUUCAUUUUCAUCACUUUUUGCUUUUGACACCUCCUCCUGCAUGAGGGACAACACCAUUCAGCUGUUGGGAGACAACUGUCCUCGAGUCUCAUGUGUUCCUGCAUUUGUUGUGAGGAGAGGCUCUAACGAUCUUUGCUUCAGACUAUCUUUCCAAGGAUAUUCGUAUGGUGAACAGCACUGAAGGGUAGAGAUGGUGUCUCCCACCAGAGCAGAGGAGAAAUUUGUCUUCUGGCCAGUGUAAUAUAGAUACCUUCCUAGAGGGAAAAGGGUGGGCCUAUUUGCCUGCACCCCAUUAGAAAAGACUGGAUUUUAUACGCUCUGGGUUCCUUGGCUCUUCAUCAUCCUUGUGGGAUUUGUGGGCAUGGAGAACUGAGAACUGGUGCACUCAUGAAGGUUAUGAAGAUCAUGCUGUCUUGUAUUCCAUAAGUGAUAAAGUUCUUUGUCACCAACCCAGAAGUGUUCUGUCUUUUGCCAGAAUCUAUUAAGCUGAGGCGGGCUA
rnacentral:lncRNA from 10 species